rnacentral:tRNA from 1 species
GGUAUAACUCAGUUGGUAGAGUGCUUGCCUUACAUGUACUAGGCCCUGGGUUCAAUCCCCAGCACC